rnacentral:siRNA from 1 species
UACAACUCCCUCAUAAGAUGCC